rnacentral:lncRNA from 1 species
GGGUACCAAUGUAACAUAUAGAUAGUAGAAAAAGUUGAAAACCAUUAGUGAUGUAUCUAAAAUGUUUUGGUUAAGGCAUCUUCCAAAUCUAAAGAAAUAUCAGGAAUGGGAUAUCAGAGGGUGAUGCCAGAGUGAGAGAAGAAAGCAAGAAAGCAUGCAGGCAAAGGGUAAGUCUUGUUCAAAGACAUCAUGCAUUUCCUGAGAGCUGGCGUAGAUCAAGCUCAUUUUUUUUUCUUCAUUAUUCAGGAGAGCUUCUUAAUGUAGACAUUCUCAAUCCUGGCUGCUUCUUCAAAACAUUUAUUAUUCCCAUAAAAAUAAGUCAAGGCCUGGGGCCCACCCAAGGUUGAUUAAAUUAGAAUUUCUGGGGUGGCGUGCAGAGAUGGGUUUGAACUUAUGCUUCUUCAGUUACAAACAGCAUGGUAGUGAGCAAAUGACUUGACUUUUGUAUAACAAUUUUCUCAUUAAAAUGGUUACUGAUCUAUAUCACAGAUAACUGUCUAGGUUUACACCUGAUACACGAAAAACUGCUCAAAAUAUACUACUUUCCUCUGUAUUAGUAGACAAUGCUAAAAUAGGCAGACGUGAACAGCAUUUCUGAGAGAUCUUAUAAUAUUAUCAAAUGAAGCAGGCUGAUGAGAGGAUACAGAUGCCAGAAGGAGCCAGGGAAAAUAACAACAUGCUUCUCAGGAAGUAAGCCACUUGCAAAGCAUGUGCCAGUUUUCUCAGUCUUAGAUGGGGCACCAUCCAUAAGCCAGUAAGUAUGACUGCUUCUGACCUGGUCAAUGGAAAGUAGAAAGAGAGCUUGCUGUUGGAUGUGAUGGAAGAGGCUCAGCAACCCAGAGUGCUCCCUAAGGAACAGGGCAUGUUAACCAACCUACUUCUUGCAACUUUUCUUAAGCCGCUG